rnacentral:rRNA from 1 species
AAUUUUGGACAAUGGGGGAAACCCUGAUCCAGCCAUCCCGCGUGUAUGAUGAAGGCCUUCGGGUUGUAAAGCACCUUAAGUUGGGAGGAAGGGUUGUUGGCUAAUAUCCAGCAAUUUUGACGUUACCGACAGAAUAAGCACCGGCUAACUCUGUGCCAGCAGCCGCGGUAAUACAGAGGGUGCAAGCGUUAAUCGGAAUUACUGGGCGUAAAGCGCGCGUAGGUGGUUCAGUAAGAUGGGUGUGAAAUCCCCGGGCUUAACCUGGGAACUGCUUUCAAAACUGGCAAGCUAGAGUAUGGCAGAGGGUGGUGGAAUUUCCUGUGUAGCGGUGAAAUGCGUAGAUAUAGGAAGGAACACCAGUGGCGAAGGCGACCACCUGGGCUAAUACUGACACUGAGGUGCGAAAGCGUGGGGAGCAAACAG